rnacentral:rRNA from 1 species
GACGAACGCUGGCGGCGUGCCUAAUACAUGCAAGUCGAGCGGAAUGAUGAAGAAGCUGGCUUCUUCUGAUUUUAGCGGCGACGGGUGAGUAACACGUGGGCAACCUACCUUGUAGAUUGGGAUAACUCCGGGAAACCGGGGCUAAUACCGAAUAAUCCAUUUUGCUUCAUGGCGAGAUGUUGAAAGACGGUUUCGGCUGUCACUACAAGAUGGGCCCGCGGCGCAUUAGCUAGUUGGUAGGGUAAUGGCCUACCAAGGCGACGAUGCGUAGCCGACCUGAGAGGGUGAUCGGCCACACUGGGACUGAGACACGGCCCAGACUCCUACGGGAGGCAGCAGUAGGGAAUCUUCCGCAAUGGACGAAAGUCUGACGGAGCAACGCCGCGUGAGUGAAGAAGGUUUUCGGAUCGUAAAACUCUGUUGUUAGGGAAGAACGCGUACGAGAGUAACUGCUCGUACCUUGACGGUACCUAACCAGAAAGCCACGGCUAACUACGUG